rnacentral:rRNA from 1 species
UACGGGGGGAGCAAGCGUUGUUCGGAUUUACUGGGCGUAAAGGGCGCGUAGGCGGCCACUGCAAGUCAGUUGUGAAAUCUCCGGGCUUAACCCGGAAAGGUCAACUGAUACUGCAGGGCUAGAGUGCAGAAGGGGCAACUGGAAUUCUCGGUGUAGCGGUGAAAUGCGUAGAUAUCAGGAGGAACACCGAUGGCGAAGGCAGGUCUCUGGGCAUUAACUGACGCUGAGGAGCGAAAGCAUGGGGAGCGAACAGG